rnacentral:rRNA from 1 species
UGGGGAAUUUUGGACAAUGGGGGCAACCCUGAUCCAGCAAUGCCGCGUGCAGGAUGAAGGCCUUCGGGUUGUAAACUGCUUUUGUACAGAACGAAAAAGCCGCUUUUAAUACAGGUGGUGAAUGACGGUACUGUAAGAAUAAGCACCGGCUAACUACGUGCCAGCAGCCGCGGUAAUACGUAGGGUGCGAGCGUUAAUCGGAAUUACUGGGCGUAAAGCGUGCGCAGGCGGUUAUGUAAGACAGAGGUGAAAUCCCCGGGCUCAACCUGGGAACUGCCUUUGUGACUGCAUAGCUGGAGUACGGUAGAGGGGGAUGGAAUUCCGCGUGUAGCAGUGAAAUGCGUAGAUAUGCGGAGGAACACCGAUGGCGAAGGCAGUCCCCUGGACCUGUACUGACGCUCAUGCACGAAAGCGUGGGGAGCAAACA